UGAAUACGAGACGCUAAGGCGUCGAAGUAGUGUAUGUCAUACUUCCAAGAAAAGCUUGCACUGUCAUAGAUAAAAAACGCCUGUACCAUAACCGACACAGGUGGGUAGGUAGAGUAUACUAAGGGGCGCGAGAUAACUCUCUCUAAGGAACUCGGCAAAAUAACUCCGUAACUUCGGGAGAAGGAGUGCCUUAUUCGUAAGGUUGCAAUAACAAGAUCCAAGCAACUGUUUAUCAAAAACACAGGUCUCCGCUAAGUCGUAAGACGAUGUAUGGGGGCUGACGCCUGCCCAGUGCCAGAAGGUUAAAGAAGUUGGUUAGCAAUUGCGAAGCUGAUAACUGAAGCCCUGGUGAACGGCGGCCGUAACGAUAACGGUCCUAAGGUAGCGAAAUUCCUUGUCGGGUAAGUUCCGACCCGCACGAAAGGCGUAAUGAUUUGGAUACUGUCUCGGAGAGGGGCUCGGUGAAAUAGACUUGUCUGUGAUGAUGCGGACUACCUGCACCAGGACAGAAAGACCCUAUGAAGCUUUACUGUAACUUGAAAUUGAAAUUGGACUUUAUUCGCCCAGUAUAGGUGGGAGGCGUUGAUUAUAAUCUUGUGGGAUUAUUGGAGCCAUCAGUGAGAUACCACUCUUGUAAUUUUAGAUUUCUAACUUUGAAUCAUUAUCUGGUCAAAGAACAGUUUCAGGCGGGCAGUUCGACUGGGGCGGUCGCCUCCUAAACGGUAACGGAGGCGUACAAAGGUUUCCUCUGAACGGUUAGAAAUCGUAUCUAGAGUGUAAAGGCAUAAGGAAGCUUGACUGUGAGACCUACAAGUCGAGCAGGGACGAAAGUCGGUCUUAGUGAUCUGACGGUACUGAGUGGAAAGGCCGUCACUCAACGGAUAAAAGUUACUCUAAGGAUAACAGGCUGAUCUCCCCCAAGAGUUCACAUCGACGGGGAGGUUUGGCACCUCGAUGUCGGCUCAUCGCAUCCUGGGGCGGUAGUACGUCCCAAGGGUUGGGCUGUUCGCCCAUGAAAGCGGUACGCGAGCUGGGUUCAGAACGUCGUGAGACAGUUCGGUCCAUAUCCGGUGUAGGCGUUAGAAUAUUGAGAGGAGCCUUCUUUAGUACGAGAGGACCGAGGAGGACAUACCUCUGGUGUACCAGUUAUCGUGCCAACGGUAAACGCUGGGUAGCUAUGUAUGGAGUGGAUAACCGCUGAAAGCAUCUAAGUGGGAAGCCCACCUCAAGAUAAGUAUUCUC
rnacentral:rRNA from 1 species